AUCGAAUCGGUACUUAUGACACUCACAAAGAGGUGGCUAAUGUGUGUAUAAAAAGAUAGAACAAGAGGAGGUUGAACGGAUAUUUUUUAAAAGAAAGAUUAUAUGUCAAGCUGCGGUGGAUCAUACAUUUACCGACCACAAAAUGAACAAAUUAGUGCACAUUUUAAACCUGGUCCAGCUCUUGAUGUUUGGGAUUAUCGGCUGCCUGUCAUACCCUUCCAUUGAGAUCCGGGAUAGUUACAGCAGACAGACCAAGGCUAUCCGAUUAGCGAACUGCCAAUUUGAUGACGUACUACACACAAACUGCUAUUCAUGUGCGAGACUUUACGACAGCCACGCCCUGUUUAAAGACUGCUGCCAGGGUGUAGAUACCAUUCUGGCGGAACUUUGCGCGUCUGGAGUAUGAAAACUCUGAAGAACCAUAACGCUACGAGGCAUCCUAAUGUUCAGCAACCUCUGAACAUUUAAUCAAUUGUAAAAUUUCAAUUUAUUUCAAGACGGGUCAUUGUUUUUACUACAUUAUUGGCCAAUAGCGUUAUUCAGGUGUUUUUUUAUUUAUCUACAAAUAAUUCUUGUAAAUCUACUUUUUUUGCUGAGCAAAACCGUGCAUGUUUAACAAAUAUACCUUGAUCCAUAAAGUACGGAACUGUUUGGUUCCAAAACAUAUUACAAUGUACUAACGAAAAAUCUACAUGGUGGAGACAAUUUAAGCUACCUAAUAUAGUUGUAUCUAUAGAAAAACAAAAGAUUAAUGUUUCACAGUAUUUUUCACGACUAACAAAGAUGUAUUGUAUUUAUUUUGUCAGUUAUGAAAUGUGUUUGAUGUUUUUUUGUCUAGAAUGUUAUUUUUGUAAAAUGCUAUAAAAAUGCUAACACAUGUUGCGAUAAUUUGGUCAUUUUAUCACCAUUAUAUUUUCAGUAACAGUUGAACUAACAAAUACGUAAAUAUUAUAUUGAUAAGUUUAUACUCUUUAGUUGACAUAAUAAUGACAAUAUAUACUCGUCUAUUAUGUUAGCAUUUAUGUUAGCUUUGCUGUGGAAAAACCGGGCUUAAUCUUGCACGCGCGUUAAGUGUCGUCCCAGAUUAAAUUGUGAAACGAUUAAUCAGGGACAACUCUUUGCGCAUAAUCUGGAUGUUUGCAAAGUAGAGACUUUGCAAAAAUACAAUAAAAGCGGAUUGUAUCAUAUUUGAAUAGUUUGAUCGGACUUCACAGGCUGACCUGAAACGAUACUACGCACAUGAAUAAACUCCGUUUUCCCAGAGCGUGGCCCAAUUAUAAUCGUUUACCAAAUAUGUAGCCGAAUUCACCCGCUAUUUACUUAAACUAUUUGGAACUGAUUUAACGUAUAUUUUUUCAUCAUUGAAGAGAAUUACUACAUAAUGCUGAUGAGUGGCUUUCAUCAUCUAUGUUAUUAUAAAGCAUUCGCGCUUUCGGAUUUUAGUGCACACUAUCUCAAUAAUUAAAAAGAAAGAAUAUUUAAUCCGACUGAGGGAACUAAGGCUUUAUAGCGACAGGGAAGCCACAGCUUAUAUAUUUUACUGAGCAUGUUCACCCCGUGUAUGUGUAUGUGUAUCGAGCCUUAUAAACAAUCGAAAGCACACACACUGCUUUAAAUAAUGAUUUAAAUUAUUAGCUAUGAAAUAAACCAGAACAUCUUCACAA